rnacentral:rRNA from 1 species
GCAUAUCAAUAAGCGGAGGAAAAGAAAAUAACAAUGAUUCCCUUAGUAACGGCGAGUGAAGAGGGAAAAGCUCAAAUUUUAAAUCUAUCAUGUUGUACAUGAUCGAGUUGUAAUUUGAAGAAGCGUUUUCUCGUACUUUAUGAUCAGUAUAAGUUCUCUUGGAACAGGACAUCAUAGAGGGUGAUAAUCCCGUCUGUUACUGAUUGUGAGGUUCGUUUAUGAUACGCUUUCAAAGAGUCGAGUUGUUUGGGAUUGCAGCUCCAAAUGGGUGGUAAACAUCACCUAAGGCUAAAUAUUUGCGAGAGACCGAUAGCGAACAAGUACCGUGAGGGAAAGAUGAAAAGAACUUUGAAAAGAGAGUUAAAAAGUAUGUGAAAUUGUUGAAAGGGAAACGAUUGAAGUCAGUCGUGCAGUCAUCAAUUCAGCGGUUAACAUUUUAUGUUUCCGUGUAAUUUGGUGUCUGUUGGUUAGCAUCAAUUUUGAUUGUUAUAAAAAGGUUAAGGGGAUGUGGCUCCUUCGGGAGUGUUAUAACCCUUAGCGUAAUGUGACGAUUAGGAUUGAGGUUUGCAACGAAUACCUUUUAGGGCAGUUUCACCUGGCCUCUCGUGGAAUUAUAGAUAGUUAAGAGCAUGCUCUUACUGUUUAUGAUUCUACGAAAAGGUUGGAGUGUAAAACUAAUUCGUUAAGGAUGUUGACGUA